UGCAGUAGGAAAGCACUUUCGGAGUGCUCCUCGAGCCCACUGCCUCACUCUUAGGAAGAACCCUGCUGAGCAAGGUAUUAGGUAGUCACUCCGGAAAGCUCUGGUUCUGUUCAAUAAAACUUAACAGGACUGCAUUUAGGACUUCAUAGAUGGAAAAUAUGGCUACAAAAUGAACACAAGAGCAGCCUGCCUACAUUAGAUGACAAGUCCACAUAGUUUAGCAUAUGUGUUUCAACACUGACCAACAGUACGUUGCCUGGAGGCUCGUAAGCAGAGCACAAAGGAAACUUCCCUGCUUUACUGGUUUCCUCAACAUUUGGUAUCCACAGUAUGCAGAAUAUAUCAUAAAGACUGAUCAAAGGAAGGAAUGAAAAUUGGUGGAAGAUCCAUUAAUAAGAUAUGCUAAAAGCACUGUAUUAGUUGCAGAAAGCAGCAAUGAACUGAAAUG